CAGUCGCCGCGGGAAAACGAAGGGGGCUAGCGUUGUUCGGAUUAACUGGGCGUAAAGGGUGCGUAGGCGGGCUUUUAAGUCAGGGGUGAAAUCCCAAGGCUCAACCUUGGAACUGCCUUUGAUACUGGAAGUCUUGAGUCCGGGAGAGGUGAGUGGAACUGCGAGUGUAGAGGUGAAAUUCGUAGAUAUUCGCAAGAACACCAGUGGCGAAGGCGGCUCACUGGCCCGGUACUGACGCUGAGGCACGAAAGCGUGGGGAGCAAACAGGAUUAGAUACCCCCGUAGUCCCUGUCUCUUAUAA
rnacentral:rRNA from 1 species